GUAAUCCCAAGCUUCUUGGGAGACUGAAACAGGAGAAUCGCUUGAACCUGGGAGGCAGAGGUUGCGGUGAGCUGAGACUGCGCCACUGCACUCCAGCCUGAGCAACAUAGUGAGACCCUGUCUCAAAAAAAAGAAAAAAGUCCAGGCCGGGCACGGUGGUUCAUGCCUGUAAUCCCAGCACUUUGGGAGGCUGAGGCGGGAGGAUCACGAGGGCAAGAGAUUGAGACCAUCCUGGCCAACAUGGUUAAACCCUGUCUCUACUAAAAAUACAAAAAUUAGCUGACCGUGGUGGUGUGCACCUGUAAUCCCAGCUACUCAGGAGGCUGAGGCAGGAGAAUUGCUUGAACCUGGGAGGCAGAGGUUGCAGUGAGACAAGAUGGCACCACUGUACUCCAUCCUGGUGACAGAGUGAGGCUCCGUAUCAAAAACAAAAAAAAAUUAGCAGGGUGUGGUGGUUCACGCCUGUAGUCCCAGCUACUUGGGGGGCUGAGGUGAGAGGAUCACUUGAGCCUGGUCAAGGUUGAGGUUGCAGUGAGCUGUGUUUGUACCACUGCACUCCAACCUGGACAACAAAGUGAGACCCUGUCUCCAAAAACAAAAAUGUAGGUAAAUACCAUCAUUUGUGACAAGAUGGAUGAAUCUGGAAAACAUUAUGCUAAGUGAAAUAAGCCAGGUAUAGAAAGACAAAUACUACAUGAUCUCACUUAUAUGUGGAAUCCAAACAUGUCAAAUUCAUAGCAGCAGAUAGUAGAAUGAUGGCUACCAGAGGCUGGGGAGAGUGGAGACGAGGAGAAUGGGGAAUUGUUAAUCAAAGGGUGCAAAAUUUCAGAUAGAAGGCUUUGAGAUUUACUGCACAAUAGAGUGACUAUAAUCAAUAAUGAUGUAGUUUUAUCUAGCCAUCUAAAAUGGAGAGAUGAAUCGUUCUGCCUAUACAAACAAGUCAGUUAUUAGAGGGUGGUUGAGGCAGGACGAUCCUUUGAGUUUGGGAAUUUGAGACCAGCCUGGGCAGCACAGUGAGACCCUGUCUCUACAAAAAUAAAUUUUAAAAGCUGGCCACGAUGGUGCAGGCCUAUGGUAUCAGCUACUAGGGAGGCUGAGGCGGGAGGACUGCUUGAGCCCAGGAGAUCUAGACUGUGGUGAGCCAUGCUUGUGCCACUGCAAAGUCAGACCUGGGCAACAAAGUGAGAUUCUAUCUCAAAUAAAUAAAAUAAUUGCUGGCCAGGUGCAGUGGCUCACGCCUGUAAUCCCAGCACUUUGGGAGGCCGAGGCAGGUGAAUCACCUGAGGUCAGGAGUUCGAGACCAGCCUGGCCAACAUGGUGAAACCCCAUCUCUACUAAAAAUACAAACUUAGCCAGGCCUGGUGGCGCAUGCCUGUAAUCCCAGCUACCUGGGAGGCUGAGGCAGGAGAAUCGCUUGAACCCGAGAGGCGGAGGUUGCAGUCAGCCAAGAUCCUGCCACUGCACUCCAGCUUGGGCAAUAGAGUGACACUCCGUCUCAAAAAUAAUAAUAAUAAGUAAAAUAAAAUAAUAAUAAUUGCUAUUAUGUCUGUUGAUCCAAAGUCCUGUUUUGGCAGUAUUAUAUGUAUUGUGAUUAAAACAAAGUGAAAACCAUAAUUAUUUUCUAAGUUGUGUUUCUUUGGGUAGUCAAAUGGUCUUGAAAUCUGGUGCGUAACAAUAAAAUCAAUAAAAACAGUUCUUGGGAUAGAAAAUCUCAGGGUUAGUAUGUCAGGACAUAUUUUCAGAAAUGAACACUAGAUGUCAGCUUUUAGGCAAGCUUUUCUGAGUCACUGACCCAUUUUUACCUCCCGACAAAACCCAAGCCAAGUCUUUUCUGAAUGUAGAAACUUUCCUCCUCAGGGAACUCCACUUCCGCAGGGCUCUCCCACUGACACCCCUGAUAGGGUAACAUUUGAGCUAUUAAAAUUAGCAGGAACUAAACUAGAAAGUGAAGCACCUAUGGAGGUUUCUGGGGAGACAUUAAAUAAAAAACAGAGAAACAAACAAAAAAUAUAACCUGCAAUUCUCUCCCUCUAUUGUACUUUACUAUCAUUUAAAAGAAUAAACACAGGCUGGGUGCAUUGGCUCAUCCUUGUAAUCCCAGCAAUUUGGGAGGCUGAGGCUAGAGGAUCACUUGAAGCCAGGAAUUCAAGACCAGGCUGGGCAACAUGGCGAGACUCCAUCUCUACAAAACGUAGAAGAAUUAGGCAGGUGUGGUGUUGUGUGCCUGUAAUCCCAGCUACUCGGGAGGCUAAAGCAAGAGAAUUGCUUGAUCCCAGGAGGCAGAGGUUGCAGUGAGCCAAGAUCAUGCCACUGCACUCCAGGCUGGGUGACAGAGCAAGAACCUGUCUCAAAAUAAUAAUAAUAAUAAUAAUAAUAAUAAAUAUAUGGCUGUAAUCUCAGCACUUUGGGAUGCCAAGGCAGGCGGAUCAUGAGGUCAAGAGAUUGAGACCAUCCUGGCCAACAUGGUGAAACCUCGUCUCUACUAAAAAUACAAAAAUUAGCUGGGUGUCGUGGCGCGCGCCUAUAAUCCCAGCUACUCAGAAGGCUGAGGCAGCAGAAUCGCUUGUACCUGGGAGGUGGAGGUUGCAGUGAGCCAAGAUAGCACCACUGCACUCCAGCCUGGCAACAGAGCAAGACUCUGUCACAAAAUAAUAAUAAUAAUAAUAAUAAUAGUAAUAAUAAUAAUAAUAAUAAUAAUAAUAGGCCAUGGCUGGGCGUGGUGGCUCAAGCCUAUAAUCCCAGCACUUUGGGAGGCUGAGGCGGGUGGAUCACCUGAGGUCAGGAGUUCAAGACCAGCCUGACCGAUAUGGUGAAACCCUGUCUUUACUAAAAAUACAAAAAAUUAGCUGAGUGUGGUGGCGGGUGCCUGUAGUCCCAGCUACUCAGGAGGCUGAGACAGAAGAACUACUUGAACCUGGGAGGAGGAGGUUGCAGUGAGCGAAGAUCACAUGACACUGCACUCCAGCCUGGGCAACAGAGUGAGACUCUGUCUCAAAAGAAAAAAAGAAAAAAAAAAGGCUAGAUGCAGUGGCUCACACCUAUAACCCCAACACUUUGGGAAGGCAAAGGCGGGCGGAUCACCUGAGGUCAGGAGUUCGAGACCAGCCUGACCAACAUGGCUAAACCCCAUCUCUACUAAAAAUACAAAAUUAUCUGAGCAUGGUGGCGCAUGCCUAUAAUCCUAGCUACUUGGGAGGCUAAGGCAGGAGAAUCGCUUGAACCCAGGAGAUGGAGGUUGCAGUGAACUGAGAUCAUGCCAUUGCACUCCAGACUGGGCAACAAGAGCAAAACUCCGUCUCAAUAAAUAAAUAAAUAUUAAACAUAAAAAUAAUUUCAUCUUUGUAAUGAAGAGGGUGGAGCAUGGGGAGAAGGAAAUCUUCCUGAACCAAUUACAAAGACCUCAUGUCGUGCGUGCAUGGUUUAACAGCAAGUUUUUUCAGCAUUUGCUUUCUUUUCCCUUUUUUUGUAAGCAAACAAACAAACAAACAAACUCUACUCUCUGCCUAUUUAUGCCUUCAGUAACUAUUUAUGAAGUAUUUACGGCGUACAACUUAGUACAUGUCUCAGUCUGUGGCAAAUGAUGGAAGCCUAGAAAACACAUAUGGACAAGGUCAAUCCUCUACCCUUGAGACCACUGCAGUCUCAUGGGGGAAAUAAGACAGUUACAUAAAAUGUCAUAGUGUAAAGUACAGUUUCUAGCAUGCACAUUUUUUGGUGGCACAGCACAAAUUAAGUAUUUUUUCUCAUUUUUUAUUUUGUUUUUUUGAGGCAGAUUUUUGCUGUGUCACCCAGGCUUGAGUGCAGUGGCGCCAUCUCAGCUCACUGCAACCUCCACCUCCCGGAUUCAAGUGAUUCUCAUGCCUCAGCCACCCGAGUAGCUGGGAUUACAGGCACCGCCACCAUGCCCGGCUAAUGCUUUUUGUAUUUUUAUUAGAGAUGGGGUUUCACCAUGUUGGCCAGGCUGGUCUCGAACUCCUGACCUCAGGUGAUCCACCCGCCUCGGCCUCCCAAAGUGUUGGGGUUACAGGCAUGAACCACCAUGCCUGGACAGAAAUUAAGUCUUACUAAGAGGCAUUUUAGGCCGGGCGCAGUGGCUCACGCUUGCAAUCCCAGCACUUUGGGAGGUCAAGAUGGGUGGAUCACCUCAGGUCAGGAAUUCGAGACCAGCCUGACCAUUAUGGCGAAACCCUUUCUCUACUAAAAAUACAAAAAUUAGCCACGCGUGGUGGCAGGCACCUAUAAUCCGAGCUACUCAGGAGGCUGAGGCUGGAGAAUUGCUUGAACCUGGGAGGCGGAGGUUGCAGUGAGCCGAGAUCGCGCCACUGCACUCCAGCCUGGGCAACAGAGCGAGACUCCCUCUCAGAAAAAAAAAAAAAAAAAAAAAAAAAGAGGCAUUUUACUAUUUUAUAUUGGGUAAGCAUGGAAAAGGAGGCAAACUAAUUUAUUUGAGUGUGUAGAGAAGAAAAAGCAAGUUUUCCUUAACCAUGGUAAGGUUCAUGGCUGAGACUCCUAUAACAAAAUACAGAUUAACAAGAGAAAAGCAUACAAAUUUGUGUAAUAUAAGUUUUACAUGAUGGGGAGUCUUCCUAAGGAAAUGACCCAAAGAAAAGUCUGUGUACUUUUAUGCAUAGGUUUGAGAAAGUGGAUAGUUGUGCAGAAGUAUGAUUGAACAAAGCGGGUAUGAUCUCACGGUAAUAAAUUGGGGGCAUGAGAUUAGCAAGACCUGUUUGUUCAGAUUAUUCUUGGUGUCCCUGUGUGACAUUCCUUCCACCCUGAUAUAGGGCAGGACACCUGCCACAUGAGGGUUUUCAAGAGAGAUAAGAGGAUGACCUUCCUAGGCUUUAUGGCCUGCUUCAGAGACGGGUGAGGGAGAUGUGACAGUGGCCUUCCAGUAUAUGCUGUUUUCUCAACUUCCAAGGUGCUAUGUUUGGGGGUUGGGUUUCCUAUGCCAUAUCAGUGCUUACAGUAUGACAAGCAGCAUGAUGAGUGCUUUACAAAGCCUGCACUACAUGUCAGGUAGUUUUUACUCAUUUGUAAAAUGAGCAAUCUUCAUUUUAGAAAGACUGACCAAAGGCCCAGUCAUACAGAUAGACGGUAGAAUCCGGAAUUGAAACUAGCUUCCUAAGCUACAAUGGAGUGAAGCAAAAAAAGGAACUAAAACUAGGUCUAGGCUGGUAGGCUGGGUGCAGUGGCUCACGCCUGUAAUCCCAACAAUUUGGGAGGCCGAGGCAGGUGGAUCACG
rnacentral:lncRNA from 10 species